GCUCCGAUGGUCUAGUGGUUACGACGUUGCUUUCCCAAAGCAACAGCCCGGGUUCGAAUCCCGGUCGGUGCA
rnacentral:tRNA from 1 species